UAGUCCACGCCGUAAACGAUGGAUACUAGCUGUUCGGACUUCGGUCUGAGUGGCCAAGCGAAAGUGAUAAGUAUCCCACCUGGGGAGUACGUUCGCAAGAAUGAAACUCAAAGGAAUUGACGGGGGCCCGCACAAGCGGUGGAGCAUGUGGUUUAAUUCGAUGAUACGCGAGGAACCUUACCUAGGCUCGAACGCUAUUCGACAUCACCUGAAAGGGUGUUUCUCUUCGGAGUGGAUAGUGAGGUGCUGCAUGGUUGUCGUCAGCUCGUGCCGUGAGGUGUUGGGUUAAGUCCCGCAACGAGCGCAACCCUUAUUCUUAGUUGCCAGCAUGUAAUGAUGGGGACUCUAGGAAGACUGCCGGCGUAAGCCGUGAGGAAGGUGGGGACGACGUCAAAUCAUCAUGGCCUUUAUGCCUAGGGCUACACACGUGCUACAAUGGUGCAUACAGCGGGUAGCGAAAUCGCGAGGUGGAGCUAAUCUUGUAAAGUGCAUCCCAGUUCGG
rnacentral:rRNA from 1 species